rnacentral:rRNA from 1 species
AUUGAACGCUGGCGGCAUGCCUUACACAUGCAAGUCGAACGGCAGCAUGGGUGCUUGCACCUGAUGGCGAGUGGCGAACGGGUGAGUAAUGCAUCGGAACGUACCCGGAAGUGGGGGAUAACGUAGCGAAAGUUACGCUAAUACCGCAUAUUCUGUGAGCAGGAAAGCGGGGGAUCGCAAGACCUCGCGCUUCCGGAGCGGCCGAUGUCGGAUUAGCUAGUUGGCGGGGUAAAGGCCCACCAAGGCAACGAUCCGUAGCGGGUCUGAGAGGAUGAUCCGCCACACUGGGACUGAGACACGGCCCAGACUCCUACGGGAGGCAGCAGUGGGGAAUUUUGGACAAUGGGCGCAAGCCUGAUCCAGCCAUGCCGCGUGAGUGAAGGGAAGCCUUCGGGUUGUAAGCUCUUUCGGCUGGGAAGAAAUCGCAUCUCCUAAUACGGGGUGUGGAUGACGGUACCAGCAUAAGAAGCACCGGACGUAACU